GAAUUAUAACCGACACUAAUUGAAAGAGUGCUCUUUUCAUAUACCUUUCUUACAAAUAUCAGAGGAACGCUAAUAAAUUAGUCAGAGGUUUACAAAAAUGAGAUGUUUGGAGAAGUUAUUGUAAGCACUAUCUUAGUGCUUCUACGCAACAAAAUUACUUAUCAAAAGAGAACAUUGUAACUAUAUCGAAAACACAAAACAUGCCAAGGAUUAGGAGGCAUAGCUCUUCAAAAGGAAUGUUGAAAGAGAAGGAAGCAGAAAAUCCAGGUUAGCUAUUUCCAAGGCAAUCUAACGAGAUAAGAGAAACUACAGAUGAGGAAGUACUUCAGUUAACCCCCACUCAGCCUCUUAAAUGAUCUUUUCCCAUUAUAUGCAUCUGCUUUCCCUGAACCGAACAAUCAUGACUACCACCCUGGUAAAAUAGUUUAAGAGGCGGUUUGAUCAUUUAAGCUGAGAUUUCACACCUUAACUUCUGACUUUCGUAAUGUCUUAAUCAUGAAACGAUCAUCUUGAUACAUAUGCAGCUGCUUUCCCUGAACUGAACAACCAUGACUACCACCCUGGUAAAAUAGUUUA
rnacentral:lncRNA from 1 species